UGCGUAGGCGGAUUAAUAAGUCAGUGGUGAAAUCUUUCGGCUCAACCGAGAAACUGCCAUUGAUACUGUUAAUCUUGAGUUCGGUUGAGGUAGGCGGAAUGUGUAAUGUAGCGGUGAAAUGUUUAGAUAUUACACAGAACACCAAUUGCGUAGGCAGCUUACUAGACCGACACUGACGCUGAGGCACGAAAGCGUGGGGAGCGAACAGGAUUAGAUACCCUGGUAGUCC
rnacentral:rRNA from 1 species